GGGCUCGCUUCCGCAGCACAUAUACUAAAAUUGGAACAAUACAGAGAAGAUUAGCAUGGCCCGUGCUGAAGGAUGACAUGCAAAUUUGUCAGCGUUCCAUAUUUUU
ensembl:snRNA U6 U6 spliceosomal RNA